rnacentral:rRNA from 1 species
UUGGAGGGCAAGUCUGGUGCCAGCAGCCGCGGUAAUUCCAGCUCCAAUAGCGUAUAUUAAAGUUGUUGCAGUUAAAAAGCUCGUAGUUGAAUUUCGGGGUUUAUCCGUUGGUCGGGCUUUUGGGUCUGUACUGGCGCGAUGAAUUCCUACCUUCUGAAUAACCAGCAUGUCAUUAAUUUGGUGCGCCGGGGAAGCAGGACUGUUACCUUGAAAAAAUUAGAGUGCUUAAAGCAGGCUAUUGCCUGAAUACAUUAGCAUGGAAUAAUGAAAUAGGACGGCAUGGUUCUAUUUUGCUGGUUUCUAGGAUCACCGUAAUGAUUAAUAGGGAUAGUUGGGGGCAUUAGUAUUCAAUUGUCAGAGGUGAAAUUCUUGGAUUUAUUGAAGACUAACUUCUGCGAAAGCAUUUGCCAAGGAUGUUUUCAUUAAUCAAGAACGAAAGUUAGGGGAUCGAAGACGAUCAGAUACCGUCGUAGUCUUAACCAUAAACUAUGCCGACUAGGGAUCGGACGAUGUUAAUUUUUUAAUGACUCGUUCGGCGCCUUACGGGAAACCAAAGUGUUUGGGUUC